GGGGCGCAGCGUCUACCCGCGGUGCAUGGUGGGGCCGUUGCUUCGGACAACUCGGGCCUCGCCCGCCCGGAGGCUGUGAGGAGUGGUUGCGGCGGCGGAAUGCACCGGGCCUCCGCGCCGUCCGCGCCCCUGGCGGGCCCCGACUACUACGAAAGGCUGGGCCGCCUCCAGCACGGGCUGCGGGACAGUGAAAAGAAGAGAUUGGACCUGGAAGGGAAACUCUAUGAAUAUAAUCAAUCUGAUACAUGCAGAGUUAAGCUGAAGUAUUUAAAACUAAAGAAAUACCUGAAGGAAAUAUGUGAAUCAGAAAAGAAGGCUCGUACUCGAAACCAAGAAUAUUUAAAGCGGUUUGAGCGGGUCCAGGCUCACGUUGGACACUUUACCACAAAUUCAGAGAAACUGCAAGAACUGAAGAUUGAAUAUGAGACCCAAAUUAAGAAGAUACAGCUACUCUCAAAAGAUAGCCUGGGAAAAAAAGGUGAACUGAAAGAUGAAGACAGAGAAAAGGUUGUAAUGCCGGCAGAAAUUAACUCAGGGAGCGCCGCGUCAAGAGGAUUGUAUCAACCAGCAACAAUCUUUAUGGGCCGCCAAGUGUCAGCCGUCUCAGGCGUUGGAGAUUUCAGUACAGAGCAGAAAUCUCCCCAACCCACAAAGAACUUUUCAAUUCCUGACCCACAUUCACACCAACAGACAGCCCGGAGCAGUAAUGUGACAGACAGCUAUGUAGUACAAAUUCAUAGUGACACACAGUGCUUAAAUAAGUCUGACAGAAUAGAUGGAAAGACAUCUCUUCAGAUGGGUGAGAAAACGCCAGUCACAGCCAGCGCGUUGUCUGAGGAGGAACAAACUCAUUGCUUGGAGAUAGGAAGCAACGCACGUCAGGGCAAGAGUAAUUUAUCUGAAGGCAGAAAGUCUGCCGAACUCCAUUCCCCAUUACAGGAGAGAUUAAGUCCAGAGAACAGAACCACUGAUUUAAAGUGUGACAGUUCCAGCAGAUCAGAGGGAUCAGAGGGAGAAAUACUGACACGGGAGCAUAUUGAAGUUGAGGAAGAAAGAGCCAGACCGCCAGUCUCUCUGCCGUCAGGCUCAGAAUACAGUGCAUCUGAAAUCGAAUGUUCUCAGGAGAAGCAUCCUGCCUGGGAAGCUUCCUCAGAUCAUCCUCCUCGCCGGGACCCAGAGGCACAGGAGCCCUGCAGAAAAAUGUGGGAAGAGCAGGAGGAGGAGAGUGAGAGCAGCAGCGGUGACCUCACAGUUUCUGUAAGUGAAGAGGAUCUGAUUUUAAGGAGUCCAGAACCACAGCCAAAUCCGGGUGACACGGUGGAGGAAGAAGAUGGAAUAGAGGCCUUAAAUUUAAUUCACUCCAAGCAAGAAAGAGAUGCCCCAUCCACUGAAAAACAUAAUUAUAUUUUGCAAACCCUGAGCUCUCCAGAUUCAAAAAAGGAAUCCUCCACUAACUCGCCAACAAGAGAGCUGUGUAAUCGCAGUGACAUUCUGAGAAAAGACCUUGACGCCUGUGAAGCAGCUGUCCUUCACCAGAUCCCCAGACUCUCCCCUGGGGGUGGCAGCAAUGAAAAGCAAGUCAGGUUUGAACAAGCACCAGCCUCAGGUUUGUGGAGGACACCAUCGGGUCAGUGUGUUACCACCUUGAAAAGACAUGAUAAUUCUGUCCAAGAAGAGGUGGUCGCGAAGCUGUCUGAAGUUUUCCCAGUCAAAAAUGUGGACCAGAGGACAAGGGCAACAGCAUUAUUGAAAAAAGGCCUCACAGGAGAGCAUAAGGAUAGGUCGGCUGUUCACAGCAGUGAAUCAUCUUGCAGCUUGCCAUCCACUCUGAAUGACAACAGUGGAAUGAAGAACGGAAAGCCUGCUCUGUGGCUCAGCAGUGUUCCUACAAGGGAACGAGAAGUUUCCAGUGGCUGCGGAGACGAGAGCGCAGAAGAAAGCGUGGCAGCGAGGAUGCCAGUCACAGGUGUAAUUGUUGAAUCGCCCCAUAGAAAUUCAGAAUGUGAUGGAAACAUCUAUUUCCUGAAGCAUCUCCAGGCAGCUCAUCUGAACGGGGAGCAUUUCCCUUCUCCGUGCAUCUGCCCUCCCUGUGUGAGGACGGAGGAAACCUGGACAAGAGGCUCCCAGGCCCAGGAUUGCUGGGAUUUCUGCGAAAGCCAGGCCAGCCAGGCCGAGCCUCUGCCUUGGAGACGGAGACACCCCUCAGAGGCUGGGGAAACACGUGUUUAUCUGGCUCUUGUAAUGGGUUGUUAAAAGCACUUGUUCGCCAGAUAUUUUCUUUUUCUUUUUAUUUGGUAGAUUUAGAAGUAUUUUAGCAGGUGUACAUUUGCAUAUAAAAGAGAAUGAAAGAUAAGAAGUUGAGGCUUUUUCUUUCUCUCCUCAGCAUCAUCGCUCUCCUGCCUCCCUUUAUUCAGCACAUUUUCAUUUUCUUUCUCUGUUCCCAUUUUCUAGACAAAAUGCGUAUCAAAAAGAAAAAAAAAGUCUCGGUGAUCCAUCACCACUUGGCAGGAAGAUAGGCGAUGGGGUUCAGCCAGCUUGUGUAACAGAUUCUUCGUCUGCUGUUUUGUGCAGCUCUUCUGACUAAAGUAACAGUGAAUAAGGGUAUCCAGUGCCGUGGGAGAAUGACUCCAGUCCUGAGCGUCUGCUCCAACCCCUCCGGCUGCUUUGGGGUCGCUGGUCCUGCCUCAGUGUUUGUUCCUCCAAGGGAGUGCACGUAAUCCUUUCACCUUUUAAACCUCACUCUGCGCUGAAGCCAUUAGAGGAAGCAUGCAUUGGAGGUGGGGGAAGGCGAUGUGCCCGGCGGUCCUCAGCUGGAUCGUGCCAACCCUUGAUUACUCGGGUCAGAGCGGCCACAGCCCACAUAAAAACUGUCCGGACGGCCGCCAGUGACUCUGCUUGGAGAAGGACCACAGGAGGUUUAAGGAUCAAGUGCCCGUGAGGAGCCGGGCGUGGGAAGUGGGUGGGCUCUGGCUGCAUGGGCGGGAGAGAUGAGCUUUCUCCCUCCAAACUGUUGUACUGUUGAAAGCAGACUGAGGCAGCCUGGACGGGCAGCCCAGUGAGAGAGUCCGAGUCCUUCGAGAAGGACAGGCAGGCCCCAGUGUGGGACACAUGUGGAGCUGAUUUCCGAGCGCUAGGAUGGCCCCUGGGCUGGGGUGACUCACUGCCCGGUCCUCCCUUCCAGGCUCACACCAGAGAUGAGAUACAUUCCUUCUUGUAUUUGGACAGAAUACUUAAUCCCCCACCCCCAAUCUGAAAUCACCUCACAGCUACUAACCUGAUAUUUUGCACAAAAAUCCUCUCCUGAAAAUAAAUAGCACAUGUUUUCUUGGUUUCUGAGAAGCCUGAGAGCUGGCUUACUGGAGUCAAAUGAUUUCCCUUCAGAUGGUAGACAGCAGAGCCCAGCUCCAGCUUCCAGCCACCAGGAGCCUUUGUUCAUCAAGAAGCAGCUCUCCUUUCUCUCUUUCUCUCCCCUCUUUCCCUGCUUCCUUCCUUCAUUUCUCUUUUAAAAAAUUUCUUUCUAUCUUUUGCUAUCUUUUCCUUGACCAAAUAAGUUUCACUGAAUGCAGAAAUAGCACAUGGUCAUUAAAAUCUGGACUUGUAUCCUAAAAGCUGAAAGUCUUUUUGGCUGAUCUUUCUAAAAUAAAAACAAAACAGCAUUUUCAUCUGUCUUACAGUGAUUCUUUACUUUUUUAGAAUUCAGACACUCCACCUUUGAUUUUAUUAAUACCUUACCCCCUCAACAGAUUACCUGACAGUGAAUCUGAGGUGAUAAGGUUGUUAGGAUUAAUCGGAGAGUGUUAUGAUGCACUCCUAUCGAGCCACCCUGGGACACUGGGAUUAACCUACAGCAAGAAACACUUUCUAUCCCAGGCCACUUCCCCACACACACACAGAUGUUACACAAAAUAAUACUUUCCCUUUGUGCGUGUACUGCAUCUGGUGUUUUCUUUAUUAAAGUUUUCAAACUAUCAAUGCUAGUUCCAGUGGACAUUGAUUUCACAAUCCAGCAAUGUUAAAAAAUGUUGCUUUAGGAUUUAUUAUUUUCAGAGUUAAGAGUCCCUGAUCUGUGCAUAUUUUAAUUACAUAGCAUUUACUACUCAAAAAUAUGAUGCUCAUUUUAAAUACUUAUUUUUUAUCUUGACUGAUUCUCAGUAGGGCAAGGUAAGUUAUAUUUUUCUCCUUCAGCAUGAUGGUAGUUUUAACCAGUAAUAACGGGCCUUGUAGUUUAGUUCUUAAACUGAACCAGCAAGCACAGGAAUGCAGCCGAUGGCCAGCCCCUGGAGCUGACAGGGGAAUCCUUUAGUUAGUGGCCAUGUUGAGAGUGUGGCCAUGGAUGCUGUUUUGCUGUGUCUCUGCUAAAACUCUAACUCUGCAUCCUCCGCUUCAUCCAGGAGUCCUUGAGACCUGAGGCAAUGGGGAAGCUAGUGUCACUCAGGUCCUUCACGGGACCCUUAUUUAGUAUUCUUCCCAACAGUCUUCCCCACUUUAACUUAGAGCAGGGCUAAGUGCUCUGUCAAUUGUUUCCUUUGACACAUAAAAGUUUUUAAGUUUGCUGUAGUCCUGUUUGUCUUUAUUUUGUUAAGUGUGCUUUUGGCGUUGUAUCCAAGAAAUCACUGCCAAAUCUGAUAUCCUAAAGCUUUUCUCCUGCGUUUUCUGCUAGGAACUUAAUAGUUUUAGGUCUUAUAUUUAAGUCUUUAAUCCUUUCUGAGUUGAUUUUUGUGUAUGAUGUAAGGUAAGGGCCCAACUUCAUUCUUUUGCCUGUGGGUAUCUUGUUACCUGGGACUUUUUCUCGUAUAUAGAAACGAAAGCCUACCAGAUGCUGAAACAGUCUACCCUUCAGGACAGUGCACACCAAGCUGAAGACGGAUUCCAGAAGGCCGAGGCCUCUGCAUCACUGUCAGGUUUGAAUAUUGGCAGCGGUACAUUCGAGACAAAGACAACUCACAAGA